GAUGAACGCUAGCGACAGGCCUAACACAUGCAAGUCCGAGGGGCAGCGGGGCGAGGAGCAAUCCUUCGCCGCCGGCGACCGGCGCACGGGUGAGUAACGCGUAUGCGACCUGCCCGUUGCAGGGGGAUAAUCGGGAGAAAUCCCGUCUAAUACCGCGUAACGCCGCGGGGCUGCAUGGCCCUGCGGCCAAAGGAAGCGAUUCCGGCAACGGAUGGGCAUGCGUGACAUUAGCUAGUUGGCGGGGCAACGGCCCACCAAGGCGACGAUGUCUAGGGGUUCUGAGAGGAAGGUCCCCCACACUGGUACUGAGACACGGACCAGACUCCUACGGGAGGCAGCAGUGAGGAAUAUUGGUCAAUGGGCGCGAGCCUGAACCAGCCAAGUCGCGUGAGGGAUGACGGCCCUACGGGUUGUAAACCUCUUUUGUCGGGGAGCAAAUUCCGCCACGUGUGGCGGAGUCGAGAGUACCCGAAGAAAAAGCAUCGGCUAACUCCGUGCCAGCAGCCGCGGUAAUACGGAGGAUGCGAGCGUUAUCCGGAUUUAUUGGGUUUAAAGGGUGCGUAGGCGGACUGUCAAGUCAGCGGUAAAAUACGGGGGCUCAACCUCCGCCCGCCGUUGAAACUGACGGUCUUGAGUGGGCGAGAAGUAUGCGGAAUGCGUGGUGUAGCGGUGAAAUGCAUAGAUAUCACGCAGAACUCCGAUUGCGAAGGCAGCAUACCGGCGCCCAACUGACGCUGAAGCACGAAAGCGUGGGUAUCGAACAGGAUUAGAUACCCUGGUAGUCCACGCAGUAAACGAUGAAUACUAGCUGUCCGGGGCGAAUGAGCCCUGGGUGGCACAGCGAAAGCGUUAAGUAUUCCACCUGGGGAGUAUGCCGGCAACGGUGAAACUCAAAGGAAUUGACGGGGGCCCGCACAAGCGGAGGAACAUGUGGUUUAAUUCGAUGAUACGCGAGGAACCUUACCCGGGCUCAAACGACACAGGAACGGUCCUGAAAGGGGUCGGCUCUACGGAGCCUGUGUCGAGGUGCUGCAUGGUUGUCGUCAGCUCGUGCCGUGAGGUGUCGGCUUAAGUGCCAUAACGAGCGCAACCCCCAUCGACAGUUGCUAACAGGUUAAGCUGAGGACUCUGUCGAGACUGCCGGCGCAAGCUGCGAGGAAGGCGGGGAUGACGUCAAAUCAGCACGGCCCUUACGUCCGGGGCGACACACGUGUUACAAUGGCAGGUACAGCGGGAAGCCACCUGGCGACAGGGAGCGGAACCCGAAAGCCUGUCUCAGUUCGGAUUGGAGUCUGCAACCCGACUCCAUGAAGCUGGAUUCGCUAGUAAUCGCGCAUCAGCCACGGCGCGGUGAAUACGUUCCCGGGCC
rnacentral:rRNA from 1 species